CUGAGUUGUCACCUGAUUGUUAUCCUCUGUACUUGUAAGGUGGUUUGCUUUUGCACAAACAUAAGCGUAAGUCAACUACAUCAAAAAUAAAAAUGCCGGAUGAACAUAUACCGUGAAAACCCAUCUGAACUAUACUUAAGUAUAAGAUACUUAAUCAUCUUAAAUCCAGGAGGCUCCACCAAAACGGCCCACAUUGGGUCCUCCACCACAGUACGCAGACGAACGGCUUGUCCAACUCGCGCACACACGCUGGCUGGUACUAAGCGCAGUCUUCUGCGCAGGACAGGUACUAUCGCGGGCAUGAGCGCAGCGCGUCCCCGAUGCCGAGGGCGGGAGUCGCUCAGCAAAGAAGCGGCCGCAGGGGAGAUAAAAAGAGACUCAUGUGUCCUCGCGGUCACGUCUUCACAUCACCACAAUCACCCUCUCCAUCCCCUGCUUGCCAAGCUUCCUAUACACCUCCACACGCAGAGUCACGCGCAGUCACAUGCCAUGCCGUCGAUUCGCAAAACUAUGACGACAAAUUCAUGAAUGGGAAGGGAGAAAAAAAUCCUUCCGGGACCAAGCGGCACUGCAGACGGAUAGCGCGAGAGAAAUGACGAGAAUUGGGUGCAUGUACGCGGACACGGCGCGAGGCUGUGUGGGAGCGUGAGCCGCUUAUAGCUAAGCGCGUGUGAGAUCCUCCGGCCACUCGGAGCGAAGAGAGCGCGAGAGACAGUAAGAAAGCGAGAGAGCGAAUAAGCGAGUGCGGCGCGUGCCUCUGCUCUUCCCGCGCGCGCGCGCAACCCAGCAGCGGCAGAGCGGCGGCUCAACGGCCAGCGAUGGUGCACCAGGUGGCGGGGAAUCGGGUCCUAGUGGCCCUGGGCGCGAUGGCUUUGGGAGUCGUCGCUGUCGUGACAUGUAUAGCGGUGGCCUUUUGGGGAAAGGAAUUUGAACCAGGAAGAACAGCAAGGACCGUACCGCUCAAUGCCUCCACCAUGGCAGACUUUUUCAAAACCGACUCCAGAGCAUCCAAAGCCUUUGUGUUCCUUGCAGCUAGUGACUCUGGAGAGGAUAAGAUGGGGCCCAUUAAAUGGGAGGAGCAGCUUCAAAUGAACGUUCACCUAGACGCGAGCAAGACACAGAUUUUUUUAGAAGAGGAGGGCUUCUACCUGAUCUUUGUGCAGACUACCUUCAAGGUUCCAAUUACAAAGACCACGCCACUGGUUCUUAAGGUGAAAUUCAAGUAUCUGGAGGGUGAGGAUGAGGUGGCGGCGGUCUACCAGACGCACUGCGCCCAGUCAGCCAACAAGGAAGAUGAAGUGGAUGCCGUCUUGAGCCAGCCCGUGCUGCUGAAGGUCACAAAGGGGGACAGCAUCACUGUGUGGGCCAGCCCCCUAAAGCUGAUAGACUAUGAGCUGAGACCCUCUCCCAGCUUCCUGACCCUUGUCAAGGUCUCAGAUCUGAAGGAAGGCAUGGGAAGCAAUGCAGUGAAGGGGGUGCCAGCUGUGGAGGGAGGUGAUGGAAUGUAGGAGUAAGGAGGGAGGCAAAGGAAGGGAGAUGAUGAGGAGGGAGGUGAUGGGAUGGAGACAUGAGGACUGACACUUCUGUGUUGUUUCCUGCUUCUCUUCAAAUAUGUGAACCAAACAAGCUGGAGCCAGACCUACUGCUGUGAGAAUGGUGGCCAGGAGCGGUCAACACCGCAUCCUGUUGAAAGCCUCUGGUGUUUGCCGCUAACCUGACUGACCACAGCUAAAGCAAGGGUUAUCGGUUCUGACCCUCUAGGGCUGCCGUGUCUCUUUCCUCUUAAAUGGUCCUUUAUGUAGUUCAUUGGGCAGUGUGUCAUCACGCUGAUCAUUUGUCACCUUUCUCUGUAAUUUUUCAGCUUGGCUACUAACCUCUUGUGUUAAGCCUGCAGGACUCAAGUCCAGGAAAACCACAGCUACACACUUGUGAGAUAAAAUAUUAAUAGUGGUGGAACCUUCCUGCUUCUCUUUUAAGAAAAUAUUGCUGGAAAAAGUCCCAGAAUAUCUUGUCAUAAAGAAACACUUUGCAAGCCAGGCUCUUGCAAAGUUUCGGAUUUGAAUUCUGAUGUAUGUCUUCAGGAGGUUGUUGCUUGGAGUUCUGCAGAACUGAAAUGUAGUAGCAGGAGGGUGAAUCUAAGUCCAGAGCACUGGUGCCUCCUACAGAGCCUCAAGCCCCACUGCAGGUUGUUGGCUGCUUGUCCCAAGUGGCAGUGACAUAUUACCCAGUGUGUAAAGAAAAGCUUUGCAGACUGUAAUGCACAGCUUUCCCCGAGCACAGAUGAGUGUGAUACACCAUUGGAAAUUAAUCUUAAAAAAUGACAUCUGAGGGAAGAAAACCUGUGUGGGGAAACUGCGUGACAACUACUUUUUUCUGUUUGCUUGCAGUAAUGGUAACCAUGAGAGGUACCCCAGAGAGAAAAAUACAAAGUACUGGAAACUGAAUCAAAACUAAACUGCCCCCACCACUCUCCACUGGUCUUUUCUGAAUGUUUUAAUCGUCACACCUCACUUUAGGCAAGAUUAGUUAAGGAGUGCACACUCAGGUGUGCCUGUCUUCUGUUUCCCACAUGCACUUUUGACUAACCAAGCCUUCUACCCCAUGAUUGCGUGAUGCCCUUCCUUGUACGUGUGUACACACUCACUCACUCACACUCUUUCAGAACCGCUUGUCCCAUACAGGGUCCCUUCCCUCUCCGGCCCUUCCUUGUAUUUUAAGCUUUAUUGCCUGAACUCACCACAGUAACAAAUGUGUAUAUUUAUAUAUUUAUAUCGCGAUAAGUGCUCGAGAUACAUUUUUAAAGUCAGCUGUCACAUACAGUGUGUUCCAAAAGCCACUGUAGCCACCUAUGGACCUUACAUUUUAUUUUUAUAGCUCACCACAGCAGUACAAAAAAGUAUUCAAAGCUCAUGUGACAUGUGGUUUGCAAUUAACAUUGUUUUUUUGUUGAUAUUAAUUAUGUAAUGUUUCAAUAGCUUUUUGCCAUUUUAUUUCAUGUUUUUCCACCCACUACAGCAGGGGUUCUUAACCUGUGGGGUGGGAGGUGCAAAAGGGGCACAGCAGAGCUCUGAGAUUCCUCCCAGAAAAUUAAUCACAUUGAUUCCUUGAUUAAUUUGGGGAAGGACAGGAGGUGUAAAUAUUAGGUUCACUUUCAGGUAGGGUGUGAGGGUAAAAGGGGGUAAAAGGCCUCUUCCAAAGAGUGCUCAUGACAUGUUCGUCUAUUUGUAAUUUUGUUGAAAGGCUACUUUUCUACAGCAGUUUACAGGAAGUUAAAACUAUGUUUUGUGAAUAUUUUGUAAAUUAUAUUUAUAAUUAUCUCUGCAUCAGUAACUGGUGUGCCUUCUGAAUGUGUUCUCCUGUCCCAGUGGGUGUCCAGGUUGUUUGUAUCACUGCAGAAUGUCACAAUUAAACUGUAACACAGAAAACCUUCUCCUUAAUAAAGGGAAACCGUCUUACA
rnacentral:lncRNA from 1 species